AGGAAUAAAAUGAGUAGAAUCUUUUGUUAUACUUCUGCUUUGUGAACUUAUACCGAUCUGAGGCAAUUUAAGUAAAUGAUAACCUCUUAUUGCUCCCUUAAAUGUGGGUGAUUAUGGAGAAUAGUGAUCAAUGACUCAUCCAAUAAGGCCACACUAUGGAGAUUGUAUGGGGUCUAUGAAGAUGCACCACGUGGGCACGUUUUGUUUUGUGAAGUAUUGUAGGAAUUUAUUCCCACCUUGGACAAGGCACAUCAUUAACUGCUUGGUCAUUAACUCCUGGGAAGCACCAAUUGGCAAUUGGUGUGGCUGCUAGUACUUAUAAAUAGGG
rnacentral:lncRNA from 1 species